AGUGAACGCUGGCGGUAGGCCUAACACAUGCAAGUCGAACGGCAGCACAGUAAGAGCUUGCUCUUACGGGUGGCGAGUGGCGGACGGGUGAGGAAUACAUCGGAAUCUACUUUUUCGUGGGGGAUAACGUAGGGAAACUUACGCUAAUACCGCAUACGACCUACGGGUGAAAGCAGGGGAUCUUCGGACCUUGCGCGAUUGAAUGAGCCGAUGUCGGAUUAGCUAGUUGGCGGGGUAAAGGCCCACCAAGGCGACGAUCCGUAGCUGGUCUGAGAGGAUGGUCAGCCACACUGGAACUGAGACACGGUCCAGACUCCUACGGGAGGCAGCAGUGGGGAAUAGUGGACAAUGGGCGCAAGCCUGAUCCAGCCAUACCGCGUGGGUGAAGAAGGCCUUCGGGUUGUAAAGCCCUUUUGUUGGGAAAGAAAAGCAGCAGGUUAAUACCCCGCUGUUCUGACGGUACCCAAAGAAUAAGCACCGGCUAACUUCGUG
rnacentral:rRNA from 1 species